AAGGUUUCCGUCUGCUCUGUGCAGAGGGAGUGGAGCUGCGAGGGCUUGUGGCUUCGCAGUUCCUCUUCUGUGAACAGCCGAGAUCACGCGCUCCUCCCCAGCCAUCCGUUCCUCCCCGCAGUCCUUCCCCUCCACUCCGUUCCCCUUCUCUGCUCACGCAGGGAGCCCAGGAAGCCUCCGCCUCAGAGAUGCUACCGCUACUGCUGCCCCUGCUGUGGGCAGCCUUGUACGAUUAUGGCUACUGGUUCCUGGAAGGGGCUGAUGUUCCAGUGGCCACAAAUAACCCAAAUGAAGAAGUGCAGGAGGAGACCCGGGGCCGAUUCCACCUCCUCUGGGAUUACAGAAGGAAGAACUGCUCCCUGAGCAUCACAGAUGCCCGGAGGAGGGACAAUGCUGCAUACUUCUUUCGGUUGAAGUCGAAAUGGAUGAAAUACGGUUAUACAUCUUCCAAGCUCUCUGUGCGUGUGAUGGCCCUGACCCACAGGCCCAACAUCUCCAUCCCAGGGACCCUGGAGUCUGGCUGUUCCAGGACCCUGACCUGCUCUGUGCCCUGGGCCUGUGAGCAGGGGACGCCCCCCAUCUUCUCCUGGAUGUCAGCUGCCCCCACCUCUCUGGGCCCCAGGACCACCCAGUCCUCAGUGCUCACGAUCACCCCACGGCCCCAGGACCACAGCACCAACCUCACCUGUCAGGUGACGUUCCCUGGAGCCGGUGUGACUGUGGAGAGAACCAUCCAGCUCAAUGUCUCCUAUGCUCCACAGAAAGUGGCCGUCAGCAUCUUCCAAGGAAACAGCGCAGCCUUCAAAAUCCUGCAAAACACCUCGUCCCUCCCCGUCCUGGAGGGCCAGGCUCUGCAGCUGCUCUGCGAUGCUGACGGCAACCCCCCUGCACACCUGAGCUGGUUCCAGGGCUUCCCUGCCCUGAACGCCACCCCCAUCUCCAAUACCGGGGUCCUGGAGCUGCCUCAAGUAGGGUCUGCAGAAGAAGGAGAUUUCACCUGCCGUGCUCAGCAUCCUCUGGGCUCCCUGCAAAUCUCUCUGAGUCUCUUUGUGCAUUGUGAGUGUGAGGGGAGGUGCUCGAGAGUGUGGGCAGCUGGGCGAGAGCUCCAUAGUAUUCAGAGAAGAGGCCCCUGCUAAGUCCUGUCCUCCCUUCCCAGACCCCUCACAACUGCUGGGACCCUCCUGCCUCUGGGAGGCUUAGAGUCCACACUGCAGUGGCUCCUCCCUGCACUGGCAGCUUGGGGAGGGGAUGCUGGAGGGAUGGUAACAGCAGCCAUGGCUCCUUCACAGUCACCCCCAGCCAGCCGGUCCCUUGGCCAACAGCUCCCUGAGCCUCUGCCAGGGAUUCAGCUCAAGUCUCAGCCUCAGCUUUGAGGCCCAGAACAUCCCAG
rnacentral:sRNA from 1 species